CCUACGGGGGGCAGCAGUGAGGAAUAUUGGUCAAUGGACGAGAGUCUGAACCAGCCAAGUAGCGUGAAGGAUGACUGCCCUAUGGGUUGUAAACUUCUUUUAUAUGGGAAUAAAACGUUCCACGUGUGGGAUUUUGUAUGUACCAUAUGAAUAAGGAUCGGCUAACUCCGUGCCAGCAGCCGCGGUAAUACGGAGGAUCCGAGCGUUAUCCGGAUUUAUUGGGUUUAAAGGGAGCGUAGGUGGAUUGUUAAGUCAGUUGUGAAAGUUUGCGGCUCAACCGUAAAAUUGCAGUUGAAACUGGCAGUCUUGAGUACAGUAGAGGUGGGCGGAAUUCGUGGUGUAGCGGUGAAAUGCUUAGAUAUCACGAAGAACUCCGAUUGCGAAGGCAGUUCACUGGACUGCAACUGACAUUGAGGCUCGAAAGUGUGGGUAUCAAACAGGAUUAGAUACCCGUGUAGUC
rnacentral:rRNA from 1 species